UAAAAAUCUCCCAAGCUUAAUAAUAACCAUCCUCUACUCAAUACACCCUUCAACUUAUUGUACACCCCGGCGCCUCUUCUUCAUGCAUGUAUUCAUGGUGGUGAUGGUGGCCCGCGUAACAAGGCCCAUUCCAACCAUAGCUAUCAUAUAUGGGCCUCCCGUAAACUUCUGCAGGCCCACCUUGUCCAGGCCCAUAAACAUACCCAUAAGGCACAACCGGUGAAGGAUAUGAAAGAAUAGACAUUGGCGUUGUGUGUGGGAAUAUUACAGCUGGCGCAGCUGCGGUAGGAGCUGGAGCUGGAGCCGGAGCUAGGGCGGGAGCCGGUGCUGGU
rnacentral:lncRNA from 1 species